UUAUAGAUAGUAAAAAAAAAUAUAUUAAAUUUAGGUUUUGAAGGUGGUAGUAUUACCUCUAUAAA
rnacentral:tRNA from 1 species